AACCAAAUAAGUUAGGUCCAAUUAGACUAAUUUAAAUCCAACUUAAUUAGACUUAAUUAGGCUCAAUAAAAUCUUAAUCAAAUCAGGAAUUGACUAAGCCCAACCCCUGAUCAGAUCAGGGACCAAACCAUCUCGACGAUUAGGUCAACUCUUAACCUAAUCGGGUCAAACCCAACUGAAUCCAAUUCAAUUGGACUUGAUCCAAAAAUAAUUACUCAAUCAAAUUGAGUUAAUU
rnacentral:lncRNA from 1 species